rnacentral:lncRNA from 1 species
GUCCACAUUAGGUUUUGCUGCUUUAUACACAGGAAUGAUUUAUUUUACAUACUAGUCAGUUACAACAUUAGCCUGUAAAAUGAAAUCCAUUUUUUAAGGUCUCAUAAGGCAGAAUAAACUUCAUAAUAUUAUGCUUUCACAUUAGCCAGUCUGAUAAAGCAUAAACAACUUAAGACUAUGGUAACAGUUUAAAAUAAAAUUUACAGAACAGGCACUUUGAAGUCAGCUACUGUGUGUAACUUCACAGUUAACGUUACUUGGACAUAUCUCAUUUCAUCAAAGGUUAUCACCCAGUGAAGCAAAUGUUCCUUUGAUGCAGACGCACAAACAGAUUUAGGUUCCAAACACUGUAUUCUGGUUGUAAUACAUGCAAGACAGACCCUAAGUUAGAAAAAUCUUCUGAAAGAAAAUGAAAAACAAAAAGCAGCCAGAAAUGAAAGCAUUUACAAGCACUUGAAUAAGGCCUUUCAAUGUUAAAUCAGUGUUUUAAAUCCCUUCAUUCUCAGGUAAGGGAUUAAGAGGCCGAGAGAGAUAUCGUCUGCGAGGGUGAGGAUACUGGAGGUUGGCAGUGUCAGCAUCGCAAGAGUGCUCUACCAGAGGAGGAGGAGGAGGAGGAAGGAGCUGGGCAUAACUGGACCAUCUCGAUCCAGCCCGUGGGGAAUCCAGAGGGGAUAACAAGAGGAUAUAACCACAGGACAAUUCAUUAGGCUGUGUUUUGACGUUUCCUGAAUUCUAUUCCAAAUUAUUCACAAAGGCAUAUUAAAAUAAUUUUAUCUUACAAAUUCACAUAUUUAAAAUUUGAACAUGGAAACAGACUCUAGAUGACAUCAAAUAUUCCUUAUUAUGAUAUACAAGAAUGUAACAUAUGCUAAAUAUUC